AAUUCAGUAGUCUAAGUAGGAUGUGGGCUUUGGGAGUCUGAGGUCUCUUUAUUGGGCUGAUUGA
rnacentral:tRNA from 1 species